ensembl:lncRNA
CUGUACGAAUAUCGUACAUCCGAUUGCUUAGAAAAGUCAUAGCACACCUCUCCUCAAUAAGCCGCACGAUUUGACACCUCAUUCAUGGGUCUACGACAAACAGUGCAGGAGGAGUAGCGCGCCAAAAGUUUUUCAGGGCGAAUAGUAAUAGUAACACUAGAAUGUACAUUUCCUGAAGAAAAUGUGAGUGGUGCUUGCAGUGGCAAAACUCGGCGCUCGGUUGCUAAGGUGUUUUUUAGGCGGUUGUGAGAGCGGUUGCUAGGGUACCCAGGGUGGUUGCUAGGGUGUUGCUAUGUGGUUGCUAGGUUACUUGGGGUGGUUGCUAAGGUGUUGCUAUGCGGUUGCUAGGGUGUUCUGGGUGGUUGCUAGGUGGUUGCUAGGCAGUUGCUAAGGUACUUGGGGUGGUUGCUAAGGUGUUGCUAUGCGGUUGCUAGGGUGUUCUGGGUGGUUGCUAGGCAGUUGCUAAGGUACUUGGGGUGGUUGCUAAGGUGUUGCUAUGCGGUUGCUAGGGUGUUCUGGGUGGUUGCUAGGCAGUUGCUAAGGUACUUGGGGUGGUUGCUAAGGUGUUGCUAGGUGGUUGCUAGGUUAUUUGGGGUGGUUGCUAAGAUGUUGCUAGGCGGUUGCUAGGGUGCUCUGGGUGGUUGCUAGGUGGUUGCUAUGAUAACUGGGGUAGUUGCUAUGCUGUUACUAGGUGGUUGGUAGUUGUCACAGAUGGUC